CCAGGUUUCCCUUGAGUACAUUCAUUUGAUUACAUUGUUUGGUCUUUGGAAAUUGCACCUGUUGCACACGAAACGAGUGGAGCAGCCCUCUUGCAACCACAAAACAGUAACCGUGAGACUGAAGGUCUUUGGGAAGAUGCCACCAAACACCACCCUCAAGACACUGCAUCAACCUAAAUUCACAACUGUGCCACGAGAAAUGGUGACACUGUCUCUGGACUGUGGGAUACCGGCUUCGAGUGUUUCAACAACACAUCUCCCUGACUUCCAAUUGGAAAAGACAGAGGACGCGGAACUCCCCCAGCAGGCACACUAUGACC